rnacentral:tRNA from 1 species
GGAUUGUGGCUCAGUGGUACAGUUUUUACCUAGCAUGCAUGAGGAACUGGGUUCAAACCUCAGCACCA